rnacentral:rRNA from 1 species
UACGUAGGUGGCGAGCGUUAUCCGGAAUUAUUGGGCGUAAAGGGUGCGUAGGCGGCACACUAAGUCUAAGGUUAAAGUUCGAGGCUCAACUUCGGAUUGCCUUAGAAACUGGUGAGCUAGAGUGCAGGAGAGGGCAAUGGAAUUCCAUGUGUAGCGGUAAAAUGCGUAGAUAUAUGGAGGAACACCAGUGGCGAAGGCGGUUGCCUGGCCUGUAACUGACGCUGAGGCACGAAAGCUAGGGGCACGAACC